CCCUUAGAUGUUCUGGGCUGCACGCGCGCUACACUGAUGCGCUCAACGAGUUUAUGAACUUGCCCGGAAGGGUUGGUUAAUCUUUUUAAAACGCAUCGUGAUGGGGAUAGAUUAUUGCAAUUAUUAAUCUUCAACGAGGAAUUCCUAGUAAGCGCGAGUCAUCAGCUCGUGCUGAUUACGUCCCUGCCCUUUGUACACACCGCCCGUCGCUCCUACCGAUUGAAUGAUCCGAUGAAUACCAUGGAUUGAGAGUACGAAUAGGUUCGCUUAUUUCUGCUUCUCGAGAAGUGGAGUAAAUCUUAUCAUUUAGAGGAAGGAGAAGUCGUAACA
rnacentral:rRNA from 1 species